AAGGUGAGGACUCCACAUCAGGCAGACUAAUAUGGAGACCGAGUCCACGUGGAAAGGGCCAUGGUUGUAUAACGGAUACCGAUGAAUUGAGCUACUUGGCACUCGUUUGCUUACUAGUCCUGGCUGUCUUGGCGGGAUCCAGUGACUCCGAGUAGCAGACCCCACAGUGAGCUUGCCGAGGGCGGGACGGCUGUGUCUCAGCCACCUGUGCGUCCCCCACAGCCACUCAGUGCCCGACUCAUGGUACGUACCUAGUAAAGACGUUUGCUGACCCAAACUCAAAGUUAGACCUUGCUUUACUGGAAUGUGAGGAACCACACAGAAUUCUUCAAGGUCAAAGUGAACAGCUAGUAAUCCUUGACCUUUCGUAUUUUAUAGGGCGCAUUUAUUCCUUCUAUGCUGCGUGUUCGAGUUUUCCAACCCGUCCGCCAAGGCCCACUGACACAAUACUUGUGGAUACAUUAGAGGACAUCUGUGAGGUCCGGGCGGUGAUGCUGCCAGCUUCCCUGUGUGCAGUGGCCCGGCUGGCAGUCCAGGAAGGGUAUAUCCUGUCAGUUCCUCCAAGGGAAUUCAGCUGCCAGAGCAGGAGGAAAAAGGAAGUGAAACUGGCACCAGAGCAUACGCACAUUUGAGUUAGCUUUGCAAAAACCACUUAAAGGUGAGUGCCAUAAUUACAGUGGAUUGGAGUCGCUGUGAGAAAUCAUUCAUGAUGAAGCCACCUUAGAGUCCUGGCCGGAAACCGGCCCUGAGAACCAGCACCGCCAAGUACACCUGGCAGCUCCUGGCGUGUGCCCUGCAUGUGGGACCGGGGAUGAUAGGUCAGCAGGGCACGGUGCCGCUGGGCGAGCGGCCCUGUCUGACUCUCAAGACACGGGGCAUUCUCGCCAGGUGAGGCUGUCGCUGCACCUGCAGACACAGCCUCCUGCGACAGGGCAGUAUGACCGUGACCGUCCUGUCCCACAGGGGCAGUUCAGAAAGCAGCAGAGACACCGAAUGUUUCAGGUUCUUUCCAACGCUACCCCCCCCCCCAAAAAAAAAUGUUCUUUUGA
rnacentral:lncRNA from 1 species